rnacentral:rRNA from 1 species
UGGAGGCAGCAGUGGGGAAUAUUGGACAAUGGGCGCAAGCCUGAUCCAGCCACGCCGCGUAAGUGAUGAAGGCCUUCGGGUCGUAAAGCUCUGUGGGGAGGGACGAACCGCUGCUGGUGCAUAUCCAGCAGCAUGACGGUACCUCCUUAGCAAGCACCGGCUAACUUCGUGCCAGCAGCCGCGGUAAUACGAAGGGUGCAAACGUUGCUCGGAAUUAUUGGGCGUAAAGCGCGCGUAGGCGGCUUGGCAAGUCGGAUGUGAAAUCCCUCGGCUCAACCAAGGAAGUGCAUCCGAAACUGCUGAGCUUGAGUACUUAAGAGGAUCGCGGAAUUCCCGGUGUAGAGGUGAAAUUCGUAGAUAUCGGGAGGAACACCAGUGGCGAAGGCGGCGAUCUGGGAAGAUACUGACGCUGAGGUGCGAAAGCGUGGGGAGCAAACAGGAUUAGAUACCCGGGUAGUCC